AUUGAGCGCUGGCGGCAGGCCUAACACAUGCAAGUCGAGCGGAUGAGAGGAGCUUGCUCCUUGGUUUAGCGGCGGACGGGUGAGUAAUGCCUAGGAAUCUGCCUGGUAGUGGGGGAUAACGUUCCGAAAGGAGCGCUAAUACCGCGUACGUCCUACGGGAGAAAGCAGGGGACCUUCGGGCCUUGCGCUAUCAGAUGAGCCUAGGUCGGAUUAGCUAGUUGGUGAGGUAAUGGCUCACCAAGGCGACGAUCCGUAACUGGUCUGAGAGGAUGAGCAGUCACACUGGAACUGAGACACGGUCCAGACUCCUACGGGAGGCAGCAGUGGGGAAUAUUGGACAAUGGGCGAAAGCCUGAUCCAGCCAUGCCGCGUGUGUGAAGAAGGUCUUCGGAUUGUAAAGCACUUUAAGUUGGGAGGAAAGGCAGUAAGUUAAUACCUUGCUGUUUUGACGGUACCGACAGAAUAAGCACCGGCUAACUUCGUGCCAGCAGCCGCAGUAAUAC
rnacentral:rRNA from 1 species